rnacentral:rRNA from 1 species
AACGAACGCUGGCGGCAUGCCUAACACAUGCAAGUCGAACGAGACCUUCGGGUCUAGUGGCGCACGGGUGCGUAACGCGUGGGAACCUGCCCUUAGGUUCGGAAUAACUCCCCGAAAGGGGUGCUAAUACCGGAUAAUGUCUUCGGACCAAAGAUUUAUCGCCUUUGGAUGGGCCCGCGUUGGAUUAGCUAGUUGGUAGGGUAAAAGCCUACCAAGGCGACGAUCCAUAGCUGGUCUGAGAGGAUGAUCAGCCACACUGGGACUGAGACACGGCCCAGACUCCGACGGGAGGCAGCAGUGGGGAAUAUUGGACAAGGGGCGAAAGCCUGAUCCAGCAAUGCCGCGUGAGUGAUGAAGGCCUUAGGGUUGUAAAGCUCUUUUACCCGGGAUGAUAAUGACAGUACCGGGAGAAUAAGCUCCGGCUAACUCCGUG